UACGUAGGGUGCAAGCGUUGUCCGGAAUUAUUGGGCGUAAAGAGCUCGUAGGCGGCUUGUUGCGUCGACUGUGAAAACCCGCGGCUUAACUGCGGGCUUGCAGUUGAUACGGGCAGGCUAGAGUUCGGUAGGGGAGACUGGAAUUCCUGGUGUAGCGGUGAAAUGCGCAGAUAUCAGGAGGAACACCGGUGGCGAAGGCGGGUCUCUGGGCCGUAACUGACGCUGAGGAGCGAAAGCGUGGGGAGCGAACAGG
rnacentral:rRNA from 1 species